rnacentral:rRNA from 1 species
ACCAGAGUACUAUGAAUUCUUCAAAAUUUAAAACUCAAAGAACUUGGCGGUGUUUUAGACCACUUAGGGGAACCUGUCUCAUAAUCGAUGAUCCACGUUUUACCUGACCCUUUUUUGUUUUCAGCCUGUAUACCGUUGUCGUCAGGUAACUUUUUAGAAUUUAAAAGUUAGCUAUAUAAAGUAUAAUUUAGUACGUCAAAUCAAGGUGCAGCUUAUAAUAGGGGGAGGAUGGGUUACAAUUAUUUAUUUAUAAUUUACGGAAUAUUGUGUGAAUUAGCGAUAUAAAGGAGGACUUGAAAGUAAAUUGGAUUAUAUAAGCAAUUUGAAUAAGGCUCUGAAACGUGU